GAGGAAUAUUGGUCAAUGGGCGCGAGCCUGAACCAGCCAAGUAGCGUGAAGGAUGACUGCCCUAUGGGUUGUAAACUUCUUUUAUAAGGGAAUAAAGUGAGGCACGUGUGCCUUAUUGUAUGUACCUUAGGAAUAAGCAUCGGCUAACUCCGUGCCAGCAGCCGCGGUAAUACGGAGGAUGCAAGCGUUAUCCGGAUUUAUUGGGUUUAAAGGGAGCGUAGGCGGACUAUUAAGUCAGCUGUGAAAGUUUACGGCUCAACCGUGAAAUUGCGGUGGAAACUGGCGGUCUGGGGGGAGGUAAAGGGGGGCGGAUUUCGUGGUGUACCGGUGAAAUGCUUAGUUAUAACGAAGAACUCCAAUUGCGAAGGCAGCUAACUGGGGUGUAACUGACGCUGUGGCUCGAAAGUGUGGUAUCAAACA
rnacentral:rRNA from 1 species